rnacentral:snRNA from 1 species
AAGAAAUUUGCCAAUAAAAAAAA